AUAUAUUUGAGUUUGAUGAUGGCUCUGAAUGAACGCUGUCCAAAUGCUUGACACAUGCUAAUCGUACGUUUAAUAUAAUAUAAUAGUGUUCAGGUUAAUUCUGUAAAACUAUUUAUUUAAUUAAAAGUGGUGUACAGGUGAGUAUAUGGUAUUUUGGCUACCUUAAAGUAAGGCUAAUAAAUACCUUAUAAAGAAAGGAAGUAAAUUUCCGCUUUAAGAUGACAAUAAAUAUCUCGGAUAGGUAGUAGUUAAGGUAAUGACUUAACUAGCUUAAAAUUCCGUAAUCGAGGCUGAGAGGUCCAUCGAUCACAUUGGGUCUGAAAAAACCCCAAUACGUAUAGUACAGCAGUGAGGAAUAUUGGUCAAUAGCCUAACGGCUGAACCAGCAACUUGGAAGAACGUAAAGCUUCGGCUUGUGAAACCUAAAAUUAUAGGUGAGCAUCGACUAUGUUGAAUAAAGUUCUAGAUAUAAUAUUGAUUAUGACAAUUUUUUAUCUAUUUGUCUUGACCAAAAUACGUGCCAGCAGUCGCGGUAAUACGUAAAAGACAAGUGUUAUUCAUCUUUAAUAGGUUUAAAGGGUACCUAGACGGUAUUAUUAGCCCAAAAAAGGGUACGAUUAUACUAGAGUUUUAUAGGAGAAGGAAGUAUUUAUGGAGGAGAGUUUAUAUUUCAUUAUACCUUAAAGACUGGUAAAGGCGAAAGCAACCUUCUAUCUAAUAACUGACGUUGAGGUACGAAGGCCUGGGUCGCAAACAGGAUUAGAUACCCUAGUAGUCCAGGCAGAGAAUUAUGAAUGCCAUAUGCUAGAUUAUUUUAGCAUAUAAAUGAAAGUGUAAGCAUUUCACCUUAAGAGUAAUGCGGCAACGCAGAAACUGAAAUCAUUAGACCGUUUCUGAAAUCAGUAGUGAAGUAUGUUAUUUAAUUCGAUAUUCCACGAAAAACCUUACCACAAUUUGCAUAUUAUUUUAAUCUUUAUUGCAUUAAAAUAUUUUAAUCUUAAUUGCUUAAUAAUAUUACAAGCGUUGCACGGCUGUCUUCAGUUAAUGUCGUGAGAUUUUGGUUUGUUCCAUAAAAUUAACGUAAACCCUUGCUUUAUUUAUAAAUAGUAUUUUAUAAAGCAGUUCGCCAUUAUAUUGGUUGAUAUAUGGGACCAAGGCAAGUCAUCAUGACCUUAAUAUUGUGGGCUAUAGACGUGCCACAUAGUCCUAUACAAAGAGAUGCAAAAAUGUGAAUUUAAGCUAAUCUUAAAAGUAGGAUAUAAUACGGAUUGUAGUCUGUAACUCGACUACAUGAAGAAGGAAUUACUAGUAAUCGUGAAUCACCAUGUCACGGUGAAUUUUAUCUCGGAUAGGCACUUACUACUCGUCGCGCGCUGAAAGAAGUAUGUGCAAUAAGUUUGGUUAAUUAUUUAUUUUUAAUUAAGAUAAUACGUUCUUUAUAUUUAUUUAGUUAAUUUUCGUAUGUGUGACUUCGAUUGGUGUUAAGUCGAAAUACGGUUCGUGUAGUGGAAAUUGCACGGGGCGAAUUAAAGUA
rnacentral:rRNA from 1 species